ensembl:snRNA U6 U6 spliceosomal RNA
AUGCUCACUUCAGUAGCACAUAUUCUAAAAUUGGAAUGAUACAGAGAAGAUCAGCAUGGCCCCUGCACAAAGAUGACACACAAAUUCAUGAAGCAUUCCUUAUUUUU